GGUAAUAAUUCUUAUAAUAUAGCAGUCUUUUUAAAUCUGAAGGACCUCAUAUCGAAAAGUUGUGGAAGUUGGUGACCGAUUUUAAACAGUAAAUUUCCAUGCACUGGUUUAUGCAACGCGGCCGCAGUAAAUUGAGCGUAUGUGGAACGAUUUUUCCCUGGGAAAAAAGGAAAAUAAAUGAAAAUGUGGUAAUUGACCUCAUUUAUCCUGUUGGGCAGCCUCAUUACCAUGGCGAGAAACUGGUAUCGAUUUAUAUCGAUUGUUCUAUUCAUAUUUUAUUAUUGAUAGGGUACCCAUUUCUUCUAAUAAGCAAUUUGGGAUAAUAGAGUUUAACGAGUGCCCUUUUUAUUUUUAGGCCACGCUGUAACACGCUCAAGAUCGAUAACCAUUUUUUUUUAAUAAACUAUUUUAUCACGUCGGAAUAGUAUAAACUUAAGAAGGGAUGCGUAGUGAAUGCCCGUAUUCAUAGUAAAAUAUUACGGGACGGGUCAUAAUAUGGGACGAGAUGGUCAAAUAUUGUGACAGUCCUGUAUAUAAGGGACGGUAUGGUUACCCUUGUUAUACAUAGAACAACGUGUAAUAAAUACCUGGUUCUUGCACUGGCCAGGACGUUGACACCAUGUUGGACCUUGAACAAGGAAAUCUAGUAUAUAUUUUAAUUUCAACGAGGUAUUUGUUGAUUUUUAGAUGUUCUUUUGUAUUAUUUAUUAUAAUAAUAUAUAAUUAAAAUCAUUACAUAGAAUAAAACAAUAUCGCUUCCCGCUGUCUAUCUGUCGCUAUGUAUGCGUAGGUAUUUUUUAUGGUUUUACCCGAGCGGAGCCGGGACGGUCUGCUAGAGUCCAUAUUUUACUUUAUUACUAGAAAAGAAAUGUUGUCAUCACUUGAAACAUCGCUUGUCACUCUCGUUAACUUUAUUAAUUGAAAUAAUUCGUUGUCUCGUUUUCAGAAUAGAAAUUAACGCUUUCACUCACAUUGUAUAACGUAUAUAUUUUUUAAAAUAAAUUUAAUUACCAAAUGCCAUCGCUUCUUGUGCUCUUAAAUGUGUAACGAAUGUAAUAUGGCACCUAUUAUGUGUAAUUGAGUAAAAUAAUAAAGAUCGCGGGCGUGCGCUUACGCAAGUAGAAAGUCGUUUACGCUGUCCGCGCCUAUUGUUAUGCAUCUUCGACAGAUCUUGAUUUUGAGAAUCUGACGCACGUGAUGAUUAAGCAUUGGAGAUCCGUUUGAUUGAGUGAUUCUUAAAAAAAUCGUAUGUUAGCUAUACAUAAGGCAAUACUAAUUUGUCAUUAAAAUGGCUACGCUGACGUUCAGGGACCCGAUUUUUACGCACUCGGAGUUCACUACAUCAGGUUCCUCCAUUUUUUCUAAAGAUUUAUGUUUCUGAUUGUGUAUUACUUAAAAUCACCGUAAAAAGUACGAGCGAACGCAUCGAUCGAUUCAAUUUUUUCGGUUGUAAAUUUGCUUAAAACCAUCGAAAGAAAAUGGAGAAAAUUGAAGAAGUGAAAUUCGGCGUAGCCUAUUUAAAUAAGUGAGUAUUCCCACAUAAACAACAUAUCUAUUUCUAAGUUAAGUGUUAAUCAAAUCGUUUAUUCGUUCCGAAAUGUACUACAUAUAUACAAUAGUCUUUAAAAAUAUUAUAUUAAUAAAUUUAUUAUCACGCCGGAAAUGUGGCCAUCCCAAUUUCGGCUCUUGUCUUGGCUCGGUUUAUCCCGUAAUGGAUAAAUACGUGUUAAUGUAUUUGUAAUUGAACUUACUGUAUGUAUAUCGCAUUGCACUUAAAAUUGUAUCUUCUUCACCUAAGUAAAAAAUUGAAAAGAAAUCUCAUAAGACAAAGUUUAUAACAAACGAAAUACAUAGAUUUUCAGCACUUGAUAGAAUAAUUCAUAUAUGUGUAUAAUUCUCUCUCCGGAUAAAGCCAAUUUUUAAAAUUCAGAUACUUACAUUCCUACAAGUGCCAUAAAUUAUUAACACGUAAGUAAUUCAGCGCAUGCGCAGGUUACGGAGCAAAUUGUACAAAAACCUUGUCAUAUUUUUCCCACAGUGUGGUUAUUAUUCACCGCAAUUUCUUGCAUUCUCGUAAUAUUAACAAUUUAUUGCAAUUAAACAGACGCGAUACGGAAGCCACGAGUCAAGGAUACACAGCUGUUACUACGUAUGAUAAGUGUUUAUGUACCAAUCAGUACUUUACACAGUGUAAUGACGGUUGUACACUAUCGGUAAACAGUUCGCCAAAUUUUAUUUUACAUUGCUGGUGUUUCCUUAUUAUAACUAAAAACUCUCAUACAAACUACACAGGGUGCGUUCGUUUGCGUCAGGAUCUAAGUUCGCCAAUAGUGUAGCGGCAUAACAAGAGCUGUCAAACUAUUAGACUUAAGGUUAUUAGCUAUAUCUAUUCGCAAUGUCAUCAAAAUCGGCCUAGCCGUUUAGCCGUAAAAGCGUGACAAACACGACUUUCGCAUUUAUAAAAUUAUUAUUAUUUAUAUUUAUAUUAUUGUAGCAUCUAACAAAACCCACGCUUUUUUCUUUCCUUCCCAGCAUGAAGUAACUUUAUGGUUGACUGGUAGAAAAUGCCAUAUAUGGCGAUGUCCGCCGUUUGUACUUUUUUUUUGUAAUUUGUGCAAUAAAGUUUUAAAUAAAUAAAUGACU